GCAGCAAGUACCAAUUCUUCUUAAUAGUUUUGCAGAGUAUAGGUACAAAGUAGCUCCCAAGAGAUGUGAGAUACAUGCUUUCCUGAGUAACAAUAAAUAAGAACUGACUUGCAAAUAGAUAAACUACUACAAUAAGAAACAAGUAGUAAUAUUGCCUUAUGGAAUUGCUCAGGGUAUAUCUCAGAUUAUGAAGAAACUGUAGAACUUGACUAUACUUGAUAUCUCAGAGUGCCUGGGUGGUUAAUAACGUGGGAAGAAAGGAUCCGAAAUUUACAGUCACUGACAUUCAUAGAUAUAUCAGUAAGAAAAUAUGCAUUGGAAACCUGAGAGAACUCUCUUCUCGUGAUCUGACAAUAGGGAUGAUUGUGAAUGUUCAAGGAAAUCUGAGCAAGUACGUGUCAGAUAUGUGGAAGUGUGGAAUCCUGCAUGGCUUGGGGAUUGCAGUUUGCUUCUUGGUGACAGUGAUGGGCUUUUAAGGAAUGAGUAUUUUUACUUGAAUUUAUUCAUUGAAAGGUUUUCAUGUAUAUUCUGUCUUGAUCAUAUCUAUUUUCUGCUUCUUUCACCUCCACCUUCUACCAAGAACACUCUUACCAUGACUCCUUCCAACUUCAGGUUUCUAUUUUCUAAUUUAUUUUUAUUUUCUUUCCUUAUAUUAAACCUGCAGAGUCUAAUUAAUUUCCUUUCUACCUUGUUGCCUAAGCCUUGGUGCUGGGUGUGGAUGUGCAUGUCUCAUGUAUGGCUGAACAUUCACAAUCACAUAUUUUUUAUAAUGCGUCCUUCCUAGAGCAUUAGCUUUGGUUAACACAUCUGUAACUAGUCCUUUCCUCCAACUCCCUGUCCUCAUACCCUCUUUUAAAAUAUCAUUUCCUCUUCUCUUAUGUAAUAUCUGUCUUACUAUCUUCUCUUACUAUAUUUUUACUUGGAUUACAAGUUCUAAGUUCCCAGGUAGUUUGCUUAUGCACACUUCAUUUGGGUUGAGUCUUCCCCUGGCCCCUUAUUUUCUUAUUUUCUUAUGCAUAAUUCUAUGUCCUAUAUCAGCCCACCUAUUCCAAAGUAGUACCCUUCUCUUCCUUAAUUUAAUUCAUAUUGUACUAUUUUUCCUUUAUAAAUACAUACUGUUUUAUUAUUCAUCUGUCAGUGCAUGAACAUCAUGACCAUAAGUUUUAAGUGAGGGCACACAGUGAGAUUCUUGGUUUUACCCAUCCAUUUCCAGCUCUAUGGGUGGAAGCAGGAAGCAUGCCCAAUGUAGUAAAAAUGCAUGGAGCUGUGAAUAUUACAGAAUUUGGAGUUUGGUUUUGAAGCAAUAUUCAUGUUUAUGAGAGCAUGUCUGGAGGCAGAAUAGCUGAUGUGGAGAUGGAAAUAGCACAAAAACUAUUCCUGGAAUAGAAGAUGAAUUUUUUGAAGACAAUUAAUUCCAGAAAAUAAUGAUUUUAUGAACUUUCUACAGUUGUUUUCAUCCUUGAAAUGUUCUAAGAAAUGUCUUUAUAUGCUUUCCUAAUGUAUAAGUUUUUUCCUCUCUCUAUCUGGCUUUAUCUCACUUCAUUACUAUUUGUUUGUAUUUAAUAAAACUAGACAUGAUUUAAUAGAGUGUACUGUAUUCCAAUACUGUUAUGAUUCAGUGACAGUAAUUGGAUCUUAUAAAGUUACAUUGUAUUGAUAUGGACUCAACUCAAUGUUUGCACAAGCAGAUUAUUGUGACUUCAGGCCUAGUUCACUACAAUAAGUAGAAAAGUUACACACUUAUUUUAAAGAAUACAUUUGAAUGCAAGAGAAUCAUUUAUUUUAAUUGCAAGUAGUUUUGAAUAUGCCAAGUGGCUUUUCCUCUUUUAAGGCCAUUAUUUCUUUGUAUUAUUCAAUGCACAAAAAUAUCAAUACAAAUUAUUACAGUAAAUAAGGUUAUAUCUAUAUGUACACACAUACACACACAAACACAGACACACACAGACACACACACACACACACACACACACACACACACACACACACACACACAUGGGUGUGCCUAAACAAAUAUGUGCUCAAAAAUGUAUACUUGUCAAAUCUUUUUAAAGUUACAGGGGCUGGAGAGAUGGCUCAAUGGUUAAGAGCACUGGAAGCUCUUCUAAAAGUCAUGCAUUC
rnacentral:lncRNA from 1 species